AUGAUCUCCACGUCGCGAGGCCGACUGGGAAGGCCCGCAGUUCUCCCCUCGCUCUGCAGCCGCCCCAGAACAGACACCGCUGUCCCCGAGCCCUCUGGGAAGUGGAGUCCUUCCGCCGGGACCCCCGACCCGGCGCGGUCGCCUCCAAGUGCGCAGAUGCGACUCCAGACAGAGCCUCGGGCUCGAGCCUUUUGUCUCCCCGCAGCUCGGUGGGUCCAGAAGGCGACGGUGUCCGCCUCCCCCGCCCCUCCCAGAGCGCAGCCCGGAGGGGAUCCAGCCCUGGAGCCGGAGCCAGGUCGGCCACGAGUCCGUAGUGAAUUAGGAGGAAGUCCUAGCAAUAACAAGAGGACAAGGAGAAGCUGAUCAUGGAUUAUCUGACCAUUGAAGUUGAGGAAAAUGCUAUGACUAUAGAAGAUGUUUCUUUGUCCCAAGAACAGAGCGCAGAAGAAAUGGAACCUACUGGAGAGCUUCUUCCUGUUGAGUUCCAGGCAAGUUUGAGUUUCAUUUCCCUCCUGUGAAAUCUCAGUUUGGUGUUCAGAGUGUGUCCUCAUUUCUUCCUUUCGUCUCACUUCGGAGGUUCAUGGAAAUCUCAUCUGGAGAGCUGAACCAAAGUAAUUUUUCCUUGAAGACUUGAAGCUCUAGGAGGAGCUCAGGCUGGAGUUUAAAUUUGGGAGGAACC
rnacentral:lncRNA from 1 species